rnacentral:rRNA from 1 species
UACAGAGGGGGCAAGCGUUGUUCGGAAUUACUGGGCGUAAAGGGCGCGUAGGCGGCCUGUUAAGUCGAACGUGAAAUCCCCAGGCUCAACCUGGGAACUGCGUCCGAUACUGGCAGGCUUGAAUCCGGGAGAGGGAUGCGGAAUUCCAGGUGUAGCGGUGAAAUGCGUAGAUAUCUAGAGGAACACCGGUGGCGAAGGCGGCAUCCUGGACCGGUAUUGACGCUGAGGCGCGAAAGCCAGGGGAGCAAACGGG